AAGACACAGGGUUUAAAUACACAAGAGGGAGGAAGACAACCAGACACAGGUGGAACACAUCAGGGUGGAGUCAGGUAAUCAGGCACAGGUGUAGCAAGCAAGGAGGGGAAGUAACGACAGCAGACAGACACAUGAGGGAAAGUGAACAAAAUAAAACAGGAAAGGACAGAUGAAACAGAAAAGACAGACAACAUCCAGACAGUCUGGGAGCAGACAUGACA